rnacentral:rRNA from 1 species
GCGCGAAAACUCUGCAAUGCACGAAAGUGUGACAGGGGGAUACAUAGUGCUUAUGCUUAUGGUGUAGGCUUUUGUCGAGUGUAGAUAGCUCGGCGAAUAAGUGGUGGGUAAGACUGGUGCCAGCCGCCGCGGUAACACCAGCGCCACAAGUGGUCAUCGCGAUUAUUGGGCCUAAAGCGUUCGUAGCCGGUUUGGUAAAUCUCUUGUGAAAUUGUUCGGCUUAACCGAACAGCGUGCAGGGGAGACUGCCAGACUCGAGACCGGGAGGGGUUAGAGGUAUUCUGUAGGGACCGGUAAAAUGGGAUAAUCUACAGAGGACCACCGAUGGCGAAGGCAUCUAACCAGAACGGAUCUGACGGUGAGGAACGAAAGCUAGGGGAGCGAACCGG